CAAAACAGAGAGGAACCUGCUGUCAUAGGAACGCAUCAGAAUUCAGAACAGCCCUUACUCCUCAAGAAAUGUUCCCGAGAGAUGGCAGUGUCCUAGAUAGCUGAGGGAUUCCUUGCUAUUAAACGCCCAUCCUCUGCUCCACUCUCCCAUCUCCAGCCAUCUAAUGACCAGAAUCUACUCUGAGAAUAACAAAUGCUUCAGGGAACUUAUGAAACCAGAGACCCACAGAUACACAUGUCAGAGCAUAGAGGUCUUUCCAUCAUCCUCUUCCUGCUUUGGAGCCAGCAGAACUGAAAACAUGGGCCAAAAUAACCCUCUCCUCCUUCAAGUCACUGGUGUUGGGUGUUUGUCCCAUGGAUGAGAAAAGCGAUUAAAAUAGCUUGAAUGUGAAGACUGUGUAAUUUCAAGACGAUCAGAAAAAAAGCUUGCCAUCUGGAUGUCAUAAUAAAAUAAUGAAUUUCUGAGGCCUGCCUGGAGCCAGCGAACCAGGACAAUCACAGUGGAGCUGGCUACACACAUGUUGGCUCUUGGACUCACUAUAUGGUCUCCAACUCAUGGUGAUCGUUCUGCCCCUGCCUCCCAAGUGCUGGGAUAACACCUUCUACAAGGUGCAGCUCUGUUGGUCCAUGGACCACUUGGAGAAUUGAAAGGACAUACUGGGGGCAGAGGCACAUUUCCUGGAAGUGUAAUGAAGCUUCAAGACUCAUCACUUGC
rnacentral:lncRNA from 1 species